AGCAGCCGCGGUAAUUCCAGCUCCAAUAGCGUAUAUUAAAGUUGUUGCAGUUAAAAAGCUCGUAGUUGAAUUUCGGGAUUAGUACGCUGGUCGUGCCUUCGGUACGUACUGGUGUUACUGAUUCCUACCUUCUGACGAACCAUCAUGUCAUUAAUUUGGUGUGGCGGGGAAUCAGGACUGUUACUUUGAAAAAAUUAGAGUGUUUAAAGCAGGCUCGCGCUUGAAUACAUUAGCAUGGAAUAAUGAAAUAGGACGUUGAUCCUAUUUUGUUGGUUUCUAGGAUUGACGUAAUGAUUAAUAGGGAUAGUUGGUGGCAUUAGUAUUCAAUUGUCAGAGGUGAAAUUCUUGGAUUUAUUGAAGACUAACUACUGCGAAAGCAUUUGCCAAGGAUGUUUUCAUUAAUCAAGAACGAAAGUUAGGGGAUCGAAGACGAUCAGAUACCGUCGUAGUCUUAACCAUAAACUAUGCCGACUAGGGAUCGGACGAUGUUAAUUUUUCUUGACUCGUUCGGCGCCUUACG
rnacentral:rRNA from 1 species